AUUGAACGCUGGCGGCAGGCCUAACACAUGCAAGUCGAGCGGAUGAAGGGAGCUUGCUCCUGGAUUCAGCGGCGGACGGGUGAGUAAUGCCUAGGAAUCUGCCUGGUAGUGGGGGAUAACGUCCGGAAACGGGCGCUAAUACCGCAUACGUCCUGAGGGAGAAAGUGGGGGAUCUUCGGACCUCACGCUAUCAGAUGAGCCUAGGUCGGAUUAGCUAGUUGGUGGGGUAAAGGCCUACCAAGGCGACGAUCCGUAACUGGUCUGAGAGGAUGAUCAGUCACAACUGGAACGAGGACACGGUCCGAACUCCUACGGGAGGCAGAGGUGGGAAUUAUUGGACAAUGGGCGAAAGCCUGAUCCAGCCAGGCGCGUGUGUGAAGAAGGUCUUCGGAUUGUAAAGCACUUUAAGUUGGGAGGAAGGGCAGUAAGUUAAUACCUUGCUGUUUUGACGUUACCAACAGAAUAAGCACCGGCUAACUUCGUG
rnacentral:rRNA from 1 species